ACCUGACCCCAGGGGAUAGCUCAAGUCGGUAGAGCAUGAGACUCUUAACCUCAGGACCAUAGGUUUGGGCCCCAUGUUGGGUG